AUAAUUGUAGGUUGAAUGGACUAUUUUAAACUGCUGCUUCUAUUUUAAGUCCUGAUUCUUUUACUUACUGAUCUGCACAAGAUACCUAACACCACUGAGCCUCAGUUUCCUCAAUUAGAAAAUAAGAAUGUGACUCCUCUCCCUUCAAGGACUGUGUGAAGAUUAAAAAUGAUACAUACAGAGUACAGCCUAGAGAGAAGACAGCUUGGUUCCAAUUGCCAAUAUGUAGGGUAAAGCACAAUUUCAAGUUCUCUCAUACGACAGAGAUGGUUUGAAACCCAACCGAAAAGACUUCAGCAAUAUUCAGGAUAACUGCCAUGAACUAAAGGAACUGAAAAAGUUUUUAGCCAGAUAUAACCAAAGCAAGUGUUGCUGUUCUCCCAGACUCGAGUUUCUCUUCCUGUGGUUUUCAAUUUCUGGUAUCUUCUUCAGAGAGUACUUUGAGUUUUUAGGAAAAGAACAGACCAUUUUGAAGAAUUAAGAUGUGUUGUGUACAUAUACUCAACUCCCCACAAUAAAUGUAAUUAUAUAAUACAAAUAGGUACUGAUAAAAACAAACAAGCAACCAAACAAAAAACAGUAGUAAACAUUUAUAUAACAUUCUGCAAAGGCCCAG
rnacentral:lncRNA from 1 species